rnacentral:rRNA from 1 species
ACGGAGGGAGCGAGCGUUAAUCGGAAUUACUGGGCGUAAAGCGCGCGUAGGCGGCUUUGUAAGUCGGAUGUGAAAGCCCUGGGCUUAACCUGGGAAUGGCAUUCGAUACUGCAGAGCUAGAGUAUGGUAGAGGGAAGUGGAAUUCCGGGUGUAGCGGUGAAAUGCGUAGAUAUCCGGAGGAACACCAGUGGCGAAGGCGACUUCCUGGGCCAAUACUGACGCUGAGGUGCGAAAGCGUGGGGAGCAAACAGG